CAAAUAAAUAAAUAAAAUCUUUAAAAAAAAAAAAAUAAAAAAAAAAAAAAGGUGGGAGGGAAGGGGGCAAAGGGUGUUUCAGAUUGAACAAGAUUCUCACAUUUCAUCUAAUACAUUCAAUCCUGGCUGGAGUAUACCAAAAUGGAAACAGGAUUACUAUAAUACAAAACUUCCACUACAGCACGCUGUACACACCUGUGUUCCAAGCCCACCCCCAUCCCCCUACUGCU